CGCAUCUGUGCAUGCAGCAUAUCAAUAAGCGGAGGAAAAGAAACUAACAAGGAUUCCCUUAGUAACGGCGAGUGAAGCGGGAAGAGCUCAAAUUUGAAAUCUUCAAGGUUUUACCUUGACGAAUUGUAGUUUAAAGAAGUGUUUUCUGUUGAAGUUUUGGUAAAAGUUCUUUGGAAUAGGACAGUCAUAGAGGGUGAGAAUCCCGUAUUUGACCAUUAUUUUCAGCUGUGUGAUACACUUUCAAAGAGUCGGAUUGUUUGGGAAUGCAGUCCAAAAUGGGUGGUAAAUUUCAUCUAAAGCUAAAUAUUGGCGAGAGACCGAUAGCGAACAAGUACCGUGAGGGAAAGAUGAAAAGAACUUUGAAAAGAGAGUUAAACAGUACGUGAAAUUGUCAAAAGGGAAGCGUUUGACACCAGUGUUGUUUUCUCGAAAAUCAAUUAAAAAGAGUUAGAUUUUGUUGUGUAUUGACCUUAACAGCUUGCAUUUCUAAUUUUCUUGCUUUUUUUAAUGCACUUUUCGUUUAACAAGUCAACAUCAGUUUCUUUUGUUGUAAAAAGGUCAUUGGAAGGUGGCUUUCUUUUCGGAGAAAGUGUUUAUAGCCUUUGACUCCUGCAAUCGGAGAGACUGAGGUCUGCAGCGUAGAUCCUUCGGGGUUAGAUACAUUUGUGCUAAGUUAUAGCUUUUCAUAGACAACUUGUUGACUAUGAUUAGUCUUGUAGACUUACUCGCUUAUGCUAUUUUACCUACGCUUAGGAUGUUGACGCGCGUGUGUGCGUG
rnacentral:rRNA from 1 species